UUGUUGCGGUUAAAACGUUCGUAGUUGAAUUUGUGUCCCACACGGGUAAUUGGCCCACUUACGGGUUCUUAUUACUUGCCGGCUUGCUGGCUUUAGUGUGCGGACGUUUUACCGGUGAGGGAAACGGUGUAGUUUCGGCUGCAAUACGCCCCUUAUUUAUUUCAUAAACCCGUCUUGGUGCUUUUAAUCGAGUGCCAAUGUGGGCCGGUACUAUUACUUUGAACAAAUUAGAGUGCUUAAAGCAGGCUAAAUUUAAUGAAAGUUAAAACGCCUGAAUAUAUUUUGCAUGGAAUAAUGGAAUAGGACCUCUGUUCUACUUUCAUUGGUUUUUAGACCAAGAGGUAAUGAUUAAUAGAAGCAGUUGGGGGCAUUAGUAUUACGAGGCGAGAGGUGAAAUUCGUAGACCCUCGUAAGACUAACUUAAGCGAAAGCAUUUGCCAAGGAUGUUUUCAUUAAUCAAGAACGAAAGUUAGAGGAUCGAAGGCGAUCAGAUACCGCCCUAGUUCUAACCAUAAACGAUGCCAGCUAGCAAUUGUAUGUAGCUACUAAUUUUGGUUCAUACAGUCGCUUUCCGGGAAACCAAAGCUUUUGGGCUCCGGGGGAAGUAUGGUUGCAAAGCUGAAACUU
rnacentral:rRNA from 1 species